AUUGAACGCUGGCGGCAUGCCUUACACAUGCAAGUCGAACGGUAACGGGCCUUCGGGUGCCGACGAGUGGCGAACGGGUGAGUAAUACAUCGGAACGUGCCCGAUCGCGGGGGAUAACGAGGCGAAAGCUUUGCUAAUACCGCAUACGAUGUACGGAUGACAGCAGGGGACCGCAAGGCCUUGCGCGGACGGAGCGGCCGAUGGCAGAUUAGGUAGUUGGUGGGAUAAAAGCUUACCAAGCCGACGAUCUGUAGCUGGGCUGAGAGGAUGAUCAGCCACACUGGGACUGAGACGCGGCCCAGACUCCUACGGGAGGCAGCAGUGGGGAAUUUUGGACAAUGUGCGCAAGCCUGAUCCAGCCAUGCCGCGUGCAGGAUGAAGGCCUUCGGGUUGUAAACUGCUUUUGUACGGAACGAAAAGCCUUCUUUUAAUACAGGAGGGUCAUGACGGUACCGUAAGAAUAAGCACCGGCUAACUACGUG
rnacentral:rRNA from 1 species